rnacentral:rRNA from 1 species
GACGAACGCUGGCGGCGUGCUUAACACAUGCAAGUCGAACGGAAAGGCCUCUUUCGGGGGGUACUCGAGUGGCGAACGGGUGAGUAACACGUGAGUAACCUGCCCUUGACUUUGGGAUAACUUCAGGAAACUGGGGCUAAUACCGGAUAGGAGCUCCUGCUGCAUGGUGGGGGUUGGAAAGUUUCGGCGGUUGGGGAUGGACUCGCGGCUUAUCAGCUUGUUGGUGGGGUAGUGGCUUACCAAGGCUUUGACGGGUAGCCGGCCUGAGAGGGUGACCGGCCACAUUGGGACUGAGAGACGGCCCAGACUCCUACGGGAGGCAGCAGUGGGGAAUAUUGCACAAUGGGUGGAAGCCGGAUGCAGCAACGCCGUGUGCGGGAGGACGGCCUUCGGGUUGGAAACCGCUUUCGCUCAUGACGAAGCUUUGUGUGACGGUAGUGGGUAAAGAAGCACCGGCUAACUACGUG